AGUGAACGCUGGCGGUAGGCCUAACACAUGCAAGUCGAACGGCAGCACCGUAAGAGCUUGCUCUUACGGGUGGCGAGUGGCGGACGGGUGAGGAAUACAUCGGAAUCUACUUUUUCGUGGGGGAUAACGUAGGGAAACUUACGCUAAUACCGCAUACGACCUACGGGUGAAAGCAGGGGAUCUUCGGACCUUGCGCGAUUGAAUGAGCCGAUGUCGGAUUAGCUAGUUGGCGGGGUAAAGGCCCACCAAGGCGACGAUCCGUAGCUGGUCUGAGAGGAUGAUCAGCCACACGGGAACUGAGACACGGUCCAGACUCCUACGGGAGGCAGCAGUGGGGAAUAUUGGACAAUGGGCGCAAGCCUGAUCCAGCCAUACCGCGUGGGUGAAGAAGGCCUUCGGGUUGUAAAGCCCUUUUGUUGGGAAAGAAAAGCAGCAGGUUAAUACCCCGCUGUUCUGACGGUACCCAAAGAAUAAGCACCGGCUAACUUCGUG
rnacentral:rRNA from 1 species